ensembl:lincRNA
GUUGUGGCUCAAGCACUUUGACGGGUAGAUGGCACUCAGGUCAUUACCCCUAAAUGGGGAGGCUCUGGCCAGUCACUGCCUUGGCUCUGGGAGCCUGGACUAUAUUUGGAACUCUUAGGGGCCCUGGGUCAUUGUGAAGUCUCCAGUGAGAAAUGAAGAUGGUAUAUGGAAAGGCGAUUCUUAUACUCAGAAGGAAAAGUUCCCAUGGAAGCCAUGGAUUCAUUCAUGACAAAGGCCUUGGCAUUUUUCAUUCCUCCAUUGGAUAUGAGUGCUGCAUUUUAAUGGUGGAGAGAACUCCAGGAGAGGAACCAUUGUUAUGAAAUCAAACCGAGACAGACAUCUGUUUGGAAGACUCAGGCUCAUCUCUCAUUUCCCCAAAGCACUUCAUCAAGGUUAAAUAAGAAAACAUUUGGCUUCUACUUUUAUGUCUUGAACUCUUAAAACUAUGUAAUCAUGUUUUUUUGGUAACUCGGGGCCAAGUAUGGAUCAGGUGUGUCUGUGUUACCUGGCCUGGCUGACGGGAAUGAUCAAGUUCAACACUUAAUUGUCAAGUUUCCCUUUGCCUUUGUGCUGUUUAGAUAGAAUUUCAGAGCUUGUAAAGGCCUAGCCAUAAAUAAAACAAGAUUGCAUGUGGGG